AACGAACGCUGGCGGCGCGCCUAAUACAUGCAAGUCGAGCGAGAAGGUGUAGCAAUACACUCGUAAAGCGGCGAACGGGUGAGGAAUACAUGGGUAAUCUACCAUCGAGUGGGGAAUAACCAGCCGAAAGGUUGGCUAAUACCGCGUACGCCUCCGGAUCUUCGGGUUCGGAGGGAAAGCCACACUGUGAGUGCGGCGCUCUUUGAUGAGCUCAUGUCCUAUCAGCUUGUUGGUAGGGUAACGGCCUACCAAGGCUUUGACGGGUAGCUGGUCUGAGAGGACGAUCAGCCACACUGGCACUGCGACACGGGCCAGACUCCUACGGGAGGCAGCAGUAAGGAAUAUUGCGCAAUGGGCGAAAGCCUGACGCAGCGACGCCGCGUGGGGGAUGAAGGUCUUCGGAUUGUAAACCCCUUUCGGGAGGGAAGAUGGAGCGAGCAAUCGUUCGGACGGUACCUCCAGAAGCAGCCACGGCCAACUUCGUGCCAGCAGCCG
rnacentral:rRNA from 1 species